UAUAAAAAAAUAAUUAUAAAAAUAGAUCUCUAAAUGCGGUGAAUGAUUCACCGUAUUUAUACCUCCUUAUUAAGAGUUAGAAAAAGAAUAAAAGCGGUAAAUCAUUUACCGCUUCUUUUCGAGAAAAAGAAAGAAAGCCGUGAAUGGUUGACCGCUUUUAAAAGCGGUGAAUCAUUAACCGCUUUUAUAAGACCAUAUUUAUAAAUAAAAAUUUAACAGGUCUAUUUUUAAAAUAAAAUUUUAGGAGAAAACUAUUGGAUUAAAAAAACCCUUUAAAUACUCAUAUUUUUAUUUUUUCCUAAUUUUUAAAAUUUUAUAUUUUAUCCCAACUCAACUUUAUCUACUAGCGUUAGAUAAAUCUCAAUACUAAACUAAACCUAAGAAAUAAUAAAAGAUACAAGCAUAUA
rnacentral:lncRNA from 1 species